AUGUCAUUGACCACCAAUGUCGAUGUGUUUAAGCCCCCCCGCAGAGGGUAUUACUGGAGCUAUUACAUCAUCACAAGUUCUCAAGAGCUAGAGUCCGCCCUGGCGCACCCUCUAGCGCAAACUUAUCCGGUGGUGCUCAUGUUCUGGGCGAGCUGGAACGAGCCAUGCAGGGUGAUGAUGAGACCCUUCAGGGCCAUGGCCGUGGCUAAGAGGAGGGCCGCCAUAUUCUGCCAGGUGGACGUCGACAAGUUCAAAGAUAUCGUGGAGCGGUACCGAGUGGAGGCGCUGCCGACAUUCCUGUUGCUCAAGCAAGGCAUGGAGAAGGGCAGGGUCGUCGGCGCCAAGGUGGUGCUCAUGUUCUGGGCGAGCUGGAACGAGCCAUGCAGGGUGAUGAUGAGACCCUUCAGGGCCAUGGCCGUGGCUAAGAGGAGGGCCGCCAUAUUCUGCCAGGUGGACGUCGACAAGUUCAAAGAUAUCGUGGAGCGAUACCGAGUGGAGGCGCUGCCGACGUUCCUGCUGCUCAAGCAAGGCAUGGAGAAGGGCAGGGUCGUCGGCGCCAAGGUCGGGGACCUCAGCACCAUCAUCAUGGCCAACAUAUAA
rnacentral:rRNA from 1 species